UACAGAGGGUGCUAGCGUUGUUCGGAAUCACUGGGCGUAAAGGGCGCGUAGGCGGCCUGGCAAGUCGGUGGUGAAAGCCCGUGGCUCAACUACGGGUCGGCCACCGAUACUGCUAUGGCUCGAGUUUGGUAGAGGCAGAUGGAAUUCCGGGUGUAGCGGUGGAAUGCGUAGAGAUCCGGAAGAACACCGGUGGCGAAGGCGGCCCGCUGGGCAGAGACUGACGCUGAGGCGCGACAGCGUGGGGAGCAAACAGG
rnacentral:rRNA from 1 species